rnacentral:rRNA from 1 species
GAGUUUGAUCAUGGCUCAGAUUGAACGCUGGCGGCAUGCCUUACACAUGCAAGUCGAACGGCAGCACGGGAGCUUGCUCCUGGUGGCGAGUGGCGAACGGGUGAGUAAUGCAUCGGAACGUAUCCUGGAGUGGGGGAUAACGUAGCGAAAGUUACGCUAAUACCGCAUAUUCUGUGAGCAGGAAAGCGGGGGACCUUCGGGCCUCGCGCUCUUGGAGCGGCCGAUGUCGGAUUAGCUAGUUGGUGAGGUAAAGGCUCACCAAGGCGACGAUCCGUAGCAGGUCUGAGAGGAUGAUCUGCCACACUGGAACUGAGACACGGUCCAGACUCCUACGGGAGGCAGCAGUGGGGAAUUUUGGACAAUGGGGGCAACCCUGGAUCCAGCCAUGCCGCGUGAGUGAAGAAGGCCUCGGUU